rnacentral:misc_RNA from 1 species
AUGUUUUCCAGUUCAACUCUUUUGGGACGAUCAAGCGGUUCCUCAAGGCCAGCUGCUGUUUCCAGCAGCCGAGAUGUGAUGAGCGGUGAGGUGGAUCCUUCCCGUCCCCGCACCACAGAGGGAACAUUCCGUAAAGUUUCAAGUGCUCAAAGAAGCCCUCCUGUCGGAUCAGCGGAGCCCAAGCACUCUACCUCCGCUAGGCAUUCAUCUAACAUGAAG